AGAUAAUGUAGGAGCACUCCAUGCUUAGCUGUCCUAUGUACCUUUGUCAUAGACUUUAAGGCCAGAAAGGACCAUCAUGAUCAUCUAAUCCAGCACAUUGCAGGCCACAGGGCCUCACCCACCUACUCCUUGUUAAGAUAAGUUCCUGUCUGCAUCCUAAAAGACUUGCCCAUACCGGUAUUGCCCUGGCCUCUUCCUUUGUCAGUCAGUGUUAAAGGCAUUCUGAACUAUAUGCAUUUCCUCACCUUUUGGGGGCGAAGCCAGACUUUCAGGCACCUGCUCCCCUACUUGGUGUAAACUUUGCUUGUAUCAAUCAGAAACGAACACAAACAGUUUUUGGGCCCCGUCCCCUAUGACACUUCUGUGAUGUCAUAGUGGGUAUUUUAGGCUGCCUCUCUCAGCUCACAUGUUUUAAGCAGAGUUUCUACGUUUGCCGGUCGUUAUGAGUUGGUUUGUAUUCGUAAGUAUUGGUUAUUACUAAAUGCUGCAUCUGUGUUUAUAAAUAUUGUUUACUGCAUCUUUGUUUAUAAAUAUUGUUUAAUAGUAAAUACUUUAGCCAUUGUAUGUUUUAAGUUCCAUUAACCCUAUUAGCUAAUCAUACGCUGCUUCCCUACCCCUUGUAACUAUCCCCAAUAAAACUUUUAAUUAAUUAAUUUUA